rnacentral:rRNA from 1 species
UGUCCUACGGGGCGCAGCAGUGAGGAAUAUUGGUCAAUGGCCGUAAGGCUGAACCAGCCAAGUCGCGUGAAGGAAGAAGGAUCUAUGGUUUGUAAACUUCUUUUAUAGGGGAAUAAAGGUAUCCACGUGUGGAUAUUUGCAUGUACCCUAUGAAUAAGCAUCGGCUAACUCCGUGCCAGCAGCCGCGGUAAUACGGAGGAUGCGAGCGUUAUCCGGAUUUAUUGGGUUUAAAGGGUGCGCAGGCGGAAGAUCAAGUCAGCGGUAAAAUUGAGAGGCUCAACCUCUUCGAGCCGUUGAAACUGGUU